UACGUAGGGCGCAAGCGUUGUCCGGAAUUAUUGGGCGUAAAGAGCUCGUAGGCGGCCUGUUGCGUCCGCUGUGAAAUCCCGGGGCUCAACCCCGGGCCUGCAGUGGAUACGGGCUGGCUGGAGGCAGGCAGGGGAGAACGGAAUUCCUGGUGUAGCGGUGAAAUGCGCAGAUAUCAGGAGGAACACCGGUGGCGAAGGCGGUUCUCUGGGCCUGUUCUGACGCUGAGGAACGAAAGCGUGGGGAGCGAACAGG
rnacentral:rRNA from 1 species